rnacentral:rRNA from 1 species
UUGGAGGGCAAGUCUGGUGCCAGCAGCCGCGGUAAUUCCAGCUCCAAUAGCGUAUAUUAAAGUUGUUGCAGUUAAAAAGCUCGUAGUUGAAUUUCGGGAUUAGUACGUCGGUCGUGCCUUAGGUACGUACUGGUGUUACUGGUUCCUACCUUCUGACGAACCAUCAUGUCAUUAAUUUGGUGUGGUGGGGAAUCAGGACUGUUACUUUGAAAAAAUUAGAGUGUUUAAAGCAGGCUCGCGCUUGAAUACGUUAGCAUGGAAUAAUGAAAUAGGACGUUGAUCCUAUUUUGUUGGUUUCUAGGAUUGACGUAAUGAUUAAUAGGGAUAGUUGGGGGCAUUAGUAUUCAAUUGUCAGAGGUGAAAUUCUUGGAUUUAUUGAAGACUAACUACUGCGAAAGCAUUUGCCAAGGAUGUUUUCAUUAAUCAAGAACGAAAGUUAGGGGAUCGAAGACGAUCAGAUACCGUCGUAGUCUUAACCAUAAACUAUGCCGACUAGGGAUCGGAUGAUGUUAUUUUUAAUGACUCAUUCGGCGCCUUACGGGAAAC